rnacentral:piRNA from 1 species
UUCCAGGUGUGAUGGAGUAAAGUGUGGGA